AAAAAUGGUUCACAUCAGCAUCAGGUGGUAAUUGUCCAAGAGGCUGGCGCAUCAUAUGGUCCUGUUGUUGCUGCACGUGAUCUAAAUGUACAUGUCCCCCCUAUUCGACAGAUUGUGCCAUCCACCAGUCAUUCUGAAGCUUCAGGUACAUCCAACAGUGCUGAAACCAAAGACCCAUCUAUUGAUGUGUUAGAAAGUGAUUCAUUGCCUGAUCUGUCUACAGGAAUGGGUACUCAGG